rnacentral:rRNA from 1 species
AACGAACGCUGGCGGCAUGCCUAAUACAUGCAAGUCGAACGAGAUCUUCGGAUCUAGUGGCGCACGGGUGCGUAACGCGUGGGAAUCUGCCCUUGGGUUCGGAAUAACGUCGGGAAACUGACGCUAAUACCGGAUGAUGACGUAAGUCCAAAGAUUUAUCGCCCAGGGAUGAGCCCGCGUAGGAUUAGCUAGUUGGUGGGGUAAAGGCCUACCAAGGCGACGAUCCUUAGCUGGUCUGAGAGGAUGAUCAGCCACACUGGGACUGAGACACGGCCCAGACUCCUACGGGAGGCAGCAGUAGGGAAUAUUGGACAAUGGGGGCAACCCUGAUCCAGCAAUGCCGCGUGAGUGAUGAAGGCCUUAGGGUUGUAAAGCUCUUUUACCAGAGAUGAUAAUGACAGUAUCUGGGGAAUAAGCCCCG